AGCGAACGCUGGCGGCAGGCUUAACACAUGCAAGUCGAACGGGCGUAGCAAUACGUCAGUGGCAGACGGGUGAGUAACGCGUGGGAACGUACCUUUUGGUUCGGAACAACCCAGGGAACUUGGGCUAAUACCGGAUAAGCCCUUACGGGGAAAGAUUUAUCGCCGAAGGAUCGGCCCGCGUCUGAUUAGCUAGUUGGUGUGGUAACGGCGCACCAAGGCGACGAUCAGUAGCUGGUCUGAGAGGAUGAUCAGCCACAUUGGGACUGAGACACGGCCCAAACUCCUACGGGAGGCAGCAGU
rnacentral:rRNA from 1 species